UACGUAGGGGGCGAGCGUUGUCCGGAAUUAUUGGGCGUAAAGAGCGUGUAGGCUGUUCGGUAAGUCUGCCGUGAAAACCUGAGGCUCAACCUCGGGCGUGCGGUGGAUACUGCCGGGCUAGAGGACGGUAGAGGCGAGUGGAAUUCCCGGUGUAGCGGUGAAAUGCGCAGAUAUCGGGAAGAACACCCGUGGCUAAGGCGGCUCUCUAGUACGGUACCGACGCUGAGACGCGAAAGCGUGGGGAGCGAACAGGAUUAGAAACCCGAGGUAGUCCAAGACCGAAGA
rnacentral:rRNA from 1 species